UGUAAUAGCUACUGUAAAUUGGACAGUGCAGUUAGUUUAACAAGAAUUUAAGCUUUCGGCCCAUAUAAGACAUGUCUAUGUCCUGGGAAAUGUUCUUGUUACUUACAAUGUCAUGCUAAUCAUAUAUCUCCCAUGGGAGAGGACAUCGAUCCCGUAGAGGUUUUAAGGGGUUCUUUUCAAAGUUUUAAAUAAUACACUUUCAACAUUGGCCAUGCUGUCAAUGAAGCAUGAGUUGUGCCGCACUCAAAAUACUAUUAACUCAGAACUACGAAAACGUGACUUCAGUGAGUUCAAGACAACUGUGAAGCCGGGAAAAAACGAGCUCCAACUGGAAAAAUACAUUCAACUCGGUCAUUCAACAGUCAUUCAACUCGGUCAUUCAACAGUCAUUCAACUCGGUCAUUCAACAGUCAUUCAACUCGGAAUUCCAAGUUGGGAACUCGGGCCUUCUCCUAGAGCUCCAAACUGAAGAUCAAUGACCUUAUUAUUCAACCAUGUUUUUUUUCCGAGUUCCCAGUUGUCUUGAAAGCACCAUCAAUCCAGAGAAUGCCAGACUUUGAUGACAAAGUUUGAUGACAAACUUUCCCCACCUUCCUGUUCAUGUGAGCACAGCACAAUAAGGUGAGUCCAAAAAUGUCUUGGAAGCUGCUGCAUAAAUGAUGUAAUAUGCCAGGGAGAUAUGUAUACUGUAGCUAAGAUGGUAAUACGAAGUGUAUGUUGUGAAGUAAGCUGUCAUUAGCCCAUGCGGCUCACCCUAAUCAUUGUGUCCCUUUUCCUCUCCUAACUUACCCUACUGCUCUGACUUACUGGUGCAUAUGUAGCCUAUAGCCUAUUUUAGAGAAAUGUCAUCAUUGAAUAUUGUAAGAGCUUUUAUUGUCUGCUUUUAAGCCCCCUUUAUUUAUCCUACAGUUCUGACUUGGUGUACAGUGUUGAACAAGAUAAAGUAAAAUUUGACUUUACUCCUCUGUUUGAUCUGAAAUACCAGGAGGUGUGAGUACAUUUGUUUCAGAGUCUUGCCAUCUCUCCACCCUCUGCUUCAACCAACAGUCUCUCUAGAACAGUGGCCGUAAUCCAACUGAAGACUGGUAUGUGGCACAUGAUGUCGAGUCUCCUUGAUGACUUAAUAUGUGUGAUGAUUCUGCUGGCCAGAUUCUCAUUACUGAUUCUAUUCUUGAAGUACUCCUCUUUCUGUGGGUCUUUGAAACAUCGUACCUCUGUCACCUGGUCCAAAUACUACUCAGAAAUGAUCUGAUUGGCUGCUGCAGGUCGGGAAGUUGUCCAGAGUGGAGCAGUUAUCCAUUGAUGAGGUUUGUCAGCAACAUGUCCACUGAGGUUGACUGUUUGAAAUCACAGCAGCUAUCAUUUUUCUUGAGGUCUAGGGGCAGUCAGCACUCAUCCAGACCAUCAAGGACAGACGUAACGUUGUACUUGUCAAAGUUGGAGAUUCCAGAAUGCUUCACAUACACAAAACAGUUUUCCACAACUUGAAUCAAACAGUGUUUUUUUUCUCUAUCAUUAUGUUCAGCUCCCAAACAGGAAGUGGAAAUAUGAAGUGGAUAUCCUGAUUAGCUCUUCCUUCGGCCCAGUCCAGAAUGAACUUCUGCGUAGAGACUGUUUUACUAAUGCCAGCGACUCCCUUUGUCAGCACAGUUCUGAUAGGCUUGUCUUGUCCAGCUCUGUAAAGAUCUUAUUGAGAAGACUUGGGUUUCCUAGGACGGCUAUUCCUUCAAACACACACCGAAACUUCUUCUUCAGGAAGUGAAGUGUGAUCCUCUCUGGCCCUGCUCUCCUGCUUCUCAUCUUCAGCAUCCUCUCUCUGACUCUAAGCAUUCUGGGAUAGCUGGACUCAGAAUCCUCUUGAAACUCUUCAGUUCUUUCUUCACUAAAGUGAUGACAGUCUCUUCAAGUGACUGAGAAAGAGAAGUGUUUUUUUUAACAUUUAGAUGUAAUUCAUUCUGCACAAGCAACUGAAACCAACCAAUACAAAAAAAAAGUUAAUUCUAAUGAUAUUUGGCCUUCUUUUCAGCAGUUUUUACAUUUAGGUAAACCCAUUGGGAAUUUAGACAAAAAAAUUAAGUUCAAUUCUAUUUUUAUGUAUGACAGCUCACCAUGAAUGUUUUAUUGUAACUUUAUUUAACUAGGCAACUCAGAACAAAUUAUUAUGUUCAAUGAUGACCUAGGAACAGUGGGUUAACUGCCUUGUUCAGGGGCUGAAUGACAGAUUUUUACCUUGUCAGCUCCAGGAUUCGAUCUUGCUACCUUUCAGUUACUAGUCCAACGCUCUAACCACUAGGCUACCUGCCGCCCCAUGAGGAAUAUCAAGUCCAGGUCUGUUGUAUGACUUUGGGAAGACUGACCACUGGAAAUAUCUGCUUCUGAUAUCUCCUGUUUGUCUCUGUAAGAAAAAGAAGUUGACUACAACUGAUCAACCAGCUUCACCCCAAAACAAUGACACAAUACUUCUUAUCCCUGUUUAGUAGAGAAGUCUCCCUCUCUGAGGUUUACUGGUUUUCCCAUAGACUGUUCACUCUUCAUCAACAGACAGCUGGGUACAGGGGAGUUUGGGCUCUUGUGUCUGUGCAUCAAAGCUGGGACCGAGUGACUGAAAAACAGCUUCUAUCUCAAGGCCUUCAGACUGUUAAACAGCCAUCACUAACAUUGAGUGGCUGCUGCCAACAUACUGACUCAAAUCUAUAGC